GGAAUAUAAAAAACUGUCUUUUAAUUUUUAAAUAAAAAAAGUAAGAACUGGUUUUUAAAUAUCUUGUUUAAGAGCCGGUUCUUAACUUUUUUAGUUAAAAGUUAAGAGACGGUUUCUUAUAUUCC
rfam:Brassica napus, WGS project CCCW01000000 data, contig: 7887